UGGGGAAUAUUGGGCAAUGGGCGAAAGCCUGACCCAGCCACGCCGCGUGAGUGAUGAAGGCCUUCGGGUCGUAAAGCUCUGUGGGGAGGGACGAAUAAGCUUGUGGCUAAUAUCCACGAGCCCUGACGGUACCUCCUUAGCAAGCACCGGCUAACCAUGUGCCAGCAGCCGCGGUAAUACAUGGGGUGCAAACGUUGCUCGGAAUUAUUGGGCGUAAAGCGCACGUAGGCGGUUUGUUAAGUCGGAUGUGAAAUCCCUCGGCUCAACUGAGGAAGUGCAUCCGAAACUGGCAGGCUUGAGUACUAAAGAGGGUCGCGGAAUUCCCGGUGUAGAGGUGAAAUUCGUAGAUAUCGGGAGGAACACCGGUGGCGAAGGCGGCGACCUGGGUAGAUACUGACGCUGAGGUGCGAAAGCGUGGGGAGCAAACAG
rnacentral:rRNA from 1 species